rnacentral:rRNA from 1 species
CAGUCGCCACGGGAAUACGAGGGGGGCAAGCGUUGUUCGGAAUUAUUGGGCGUAAAGGGUGCGUAGGCGGUUUGGCAAGUUUGGUGUGAAAUCUUCGGGCUCAACUCGAAGUCUGCAUCGAAAACUGCCGGGCUUGAGUAUGGGAGAGGUGAGUGGAAUUUCCGGUGUAGCAGUGAAAUGCGUAGAGAUCGGAAGGAACAUCUGUGGCGAAGGCGACUAUCUGGGCCAACACUGACACUGAGGCACGAAAGCGUGGGGAGCAAACAGGAUUAGAUACCCGCGUAGUCCCUGUCUCUUAUAC